AUAACACCUGGAAACAGAUGCUAAUACCGGAUAACAACAGAUGAUGCCUAUCAACUGUUUAAAAGAUGGUUCUGCUAUCACUCUUGGAUGGACCUGCGGUGCAUUAGCUAGUUGGUAGGGUAACGGCCUACCAAGGCGAUGAUGCAUAGCCGAGUUGAGAGACUGAUCGGCCACAUUGGGACUGAGACACCGGACCCAAACUCCGUACGGGGAGGCAGCAGAA
rnacentral:rRNA from 1 species